UACGUAGGGGGCAAGCGUUGUCCGGAUUUAUUGGGCGUAAAGAGCGUGUAGGCGGCCAUACAGGUCAGCUGUGAAAACUCGAGGCUCAACCUCGAGACGUCGGUUGAAACCGUAUGGCUAGAGUCCGGAAGAGGAGAGUGGAAUUCCAGGUGUAGCGGUGAAAUGCGCAGAUAUCCGGAGGAACACCAGUGGCGAAGGCGGCUCGCUGGGCUCUACCUGACGCUGAGGCGCGAAAGCGUGGGGAGCGAACCGG
rnacentral:rRNA from 1 species